UACAUUUUAGUAUAUUUGUACAAAGAUUUUUGAGAUCUUGAGAAAUGGAUAAAAUUCUAUUAAAUGUAA
rnacentral:tRNA from 1 species